rnacentral:rRNA from 1 species
GAUGAACGCUGACAGAAUGCUUAACACACAUUAGUCUCUAUGGAAGUGGUGCUUGACAUAGGUCUAAUGAGACCGCAUGAGGUCUCGUAAGGGAACGGUGCGGGGAGGGGUUGAUCAUUGAUGUUGUCGGACCGGUAAGGCAUUAAGCCGCAUAGCGUGUGGGGAAAGGAGGCGCCUGGCAGAGACCGUGCCCCAUUAUCUAGUUGUAGAGGGACGGCCCACCACAGCGCAGAUAGGUAGCGGGCCUGUGAGGGGGGACGGCACAAGGGGACUGAGAUACGGCCUUUACUCUUACGCGAGGCAGGGUGUGGAUUUUGGACAAUGGGGCAACCCUGAUCCAGCAAUUUUGUGGCGCGAGGAAGUUUUUCGGGAUGUGAAGUGUUUUCUGUGGGAAGGACACAUGACGGUACCAACAGAAGAAGUGACGCCUAAAAUACGUGCCAGCAGCGGCGGGAAUACGUAUGUGACGGGCGUUAUCCCCGAUUUUUUUGGGCGCAAAAGCGCGUCUAGGGUGGUUAUAGUAAGACUGAUAGGAAAUGCGGGGCCUCUCACUUCUCUAUUUGCGUUGGAAAUUUUUAUAAAUAGAGUACUGGGGAGAGAAGCGGGAACUACAAAGGUAGGGGGGGAAAAUUCUUGGAGAUUUUGUAGGCGAAGCCCGAUGGGGGAAACCACCUUUUUCUGGGAAAGAGAAUCGACGCUGAAAGCGCGAAAGGGGGGGGUAGCCAAACAGA